CAAACGGGUGCGGAACACGUACACAACUUUCCUUUAAGUGGGGGAUAGCCCAGAGAAAUUUGGAUUAAUACCCCGUAAUAUUAUGAAAUGGCAUCAUUUUAUAAUUAUAGCUCCGGCGCUUGAAGAUGGGUGUGCGGCUGAUUAGGUAGUUGGCGGGGUAACGGCCCACCAAGCCUACGAUCAGUAACUGGUGUGAGAGCACGACCAGUCACACGGGCACUGAGACACGGGCCCG
rnacentral:rRNA from 1 species